AGGCAGAGAGGAGGAGGUGGUAGAGUGAGAGGAGCCGUGAAGAAGGUCUGAGGUUGAGCAGGCGGUGAUGGAGGUGUCCCAGAGAGCAAGACUGUGGAAGUGGGGGGUGGGGAGGAGCGGGGCAUGAUCAGCAGUAAACUCUACCUGAAGCCCAGGGAGCUGAUGCAGCCAAUCAAGAUCUGUCUGAAGAGGCGAGGGCGGAGUGAGGAGUGGGUGAUCACCGGUGUGGAGGAGGAGAGGGGUGGAGCCUCGCGGCGAGGCAGAAAGUGAGGGAGGGGCCAACAGAAUGCAGGGCAGCAGCUUGUCCCAGAUGGCUUCCCAGUGAUUAAGAAGCAGAGAAGUUAGGUCAAACCCCUCCCCUUCCCUGCCCUACCCUUCCCCUUCCCUGCCCUACUCAUGCAACUCUACCAGGCUCUGACCUACGAAACAACAUCACCAUCCAACCCCCCAACUCCGUCUUGAUGUCAUUGGAGGAGUAUUGGACCACGCCCCUUUUAUUGGAAAAAUGUCAUCUCUGCUCUGACUGAGUGAAUACACACGUGUGACCAACAUCUUCCCCCUGCUAGGAGACUGGGGUAUGGACAAACUGCUGUGUGUGGACCAUCUCACAGUACAGAAUCAAUUGGGGGCUGCCACAUAGACAGCCGUGGCAUAACGACAAGGAACGUACAGAUUUCUGCUUGAUGGAGAAGCAUGAUUGUGUGGUUGAGUUCCUCCAAGUUACCAAUUGUUAAACAAGAGGACAAAUGGAUGUUUAAAAAAAUGUGGAGGUUUUUGUUGUACCUUUUUUCUACCUCACCUUGUCUUUAGAGCUCUGUGCUUGAGUUCUAGUUUUCAGCACUUAGAUCGUCAAUUAUGAAUGUGUUUUACGCUGUGGGUCAGUUGUGCUCUGUUUAAGUCUACAUCUCACUGCCCAGACCUUUACAACAUCAUUGUGUUAAAGUUUUCAAUGACCCAUGUAGAAAAAACAGCAGCUAUAUUUGCCUCUUGUGCAGAGGAGUUUGGGUUCAUUCAUAUAGCAAAUGUUUCAUUGCGAGUUGCCAACAAAUCAGGUUUUACACUGCUGUUAGUUCAGUUUCACAAGAAUUGACGACUUUCAUUGGUUGCGUGUCAAUCAUCACAGGCCUACAUCUUCCGAUUCUGCUUCAGAUUGUUCUAGAAUGGAAUCACGUCAUGGUGGUUGUCAUCACGUUUGUCAUUAUUACUGUUCUCCCCAGGUGUUUGACUGUUUUCUGUUUAAAAACCAGAUUAAAGAUGUUCUUAACACGUGUCCUUGUGUGAAUCUAUUUUAAGUGCAGCCUAAAUAGCCGAGA